UUGACAGCACCAGAGGCUAAAGUACUGUGUUUAUCCACAGAACAGGCAGAGCGCUGGCUGGAUCAGUGCACUCUCUCUACCUUAACCCUGACCUGGAGGGGCCAGCACUGGAGCUGAAAGGCUAAGUCAGACUCAACCAGCUCAUCAGCCAAGCAUUCU
rnacentral:sRNA from 1 species